rnacentral:lncRNA from 1 species
CAGGGAUUGGCAGCACUCACUCCAAUGAAGCAUAUCUAGAAACGCAGGACUACUCCCACAGGCAAGCUACAUGGACAAACAGAUCUCACUAAACCCUUCUCUAUUCAUUGCUGGUAACAUCAUAAGAAGGUCCCACGGGGUGAGCUCAUUUCAGUUCCAGUGACAAACACUAAGGCUGGACCCUGACUGCAGAAGACUUACUGAAAGAGAAUAGAGAUGAUGGCCAAGUCAUCAAGUCAUCCCAGUCAGCUGACUAAACAAGGAAACUCUUCAACAACCAGCUCUUGCUCCUACAGUGUUUGCUAUUUGUGGUUCUGGAAGUGUUAGCAAGAGUGACCUUGACAUUGUCAGCAACCGCAUGUGGCCACCAAGGAGUGUGAUAUUGUAUGGAUCCUACUUAGUUUGGAACAUGGCUAAUGGCUUGAGAGAGUUAAAGUCUAUUGUGACAAGAAGUAAAGAGAAGACUGGCUUAGCCUCCAACAGCAAGAUUUCCUUGACAUGGCUGUUCACAUAAUAGAAGACCAGGAGACCCGCAGCAACCACAUGAACAGAGAAUCCUUGUCUGGGUCUUCAAUCACAUUUGCAAGCCCUGAAGUUCUAGUGGAAUUAUCUAACAUCUUGCCCUGGCCAGAGCAUAAGACCUUCAGGAGUGUGGAGUAUCUGCGUGGCUGGUUCUCAGCGUUCUCCAUAUAUUCGCUCUCAGCGUGGAGUUUCACUGAAUUCAACGAAGACACCUGAAACACCUGCCCUGUGCCAUGUGUGGACAUGAUGCCUCUGCAUGAUCUGAAGAGAAUGUUGUGUGAAGGAAAGCACUCAUCAGUGUCCUAUCACCACCACAUAGGCAUUCCCACCAGGACACUCUGAACGUACAGCUUCCCUACAACCACGUACAUAAACACUGGUGGAGAAGCAUUGAAGCCAUCACCCACAGGACAGCAGCACCAUGGACUCCCUCAACAAAAAUGUUUUCUUUUCCCAAGGAUGAAUACUGAGAGAGAAAAUAACUACCGGUAAGAGUGUCACAGGACAGCCAGAGCCCCUGCUGAUCCUCAACGCACAUGAGGCAGGCUGCAGGACAGCCAAACAACUAUCAGACGUGUGCUCUGUUGUGGCAAUAGCACAGGGUUAACUGCAUCGGAAGCAGGGCUAGCUGACCCCUGCCCUGCCAUCACCUGUGACAGUCAUCCCUACCCUAGAGCAUUCCAUUACUCUAUUCUUCCCCCCUUUGCAAGGCAGCUGAGGUACAGGGCUACAGAGAGUCCAGAAGAGAUUCAUCUCUGCCCAGGGCAUGCGUUUGCCCGACAGUAGGUCAAUAAAGCCAUCUUCAUAUAUCCAGAAAGUGUGUCCUUGUGGAGGAGCCGGG